CGCGGGGUGGACCAACGGUAGGUCGGGAGGCCCAUAAUCUCCAGAAGCGGGUUCAACUCCCGCCCCCGCAA
rnacentral:tRNA from 1 species